rnacentral:rRNA from 1 species
CGCGGCCUAUCAGCUUGUUGGUGGGGUAAUGGCCUACCAAGGUGACGACGGGUAGCCGGCCUGAGAGGGCGACCGGCCACACUGGGACUGAGACACGGCCCAGACUCCUACGGGAGGCAGCAGUGGGGAAUAUUGCGCAAUGGGCGGAAGCCUGACGCAGCGACGCCGCGUGAGGGAUGAAGGCCUUCGGGUCGUAAACCUCUUUCAGCAGGGAAGAAGCGUGAGUGACGGUACCUGCAGAAGAAGCACCGGCUAACUACGUGCCAGCAGCCGCGGUAAUACGUAGGGUGCAAGCGUUGUCCGGAAUUAUUGGGCGUAAAGAGCUCGUAGGCGGUCUGUCGCGUCUGCUGUGAAAACUCAGGGCUUAACCCUGAGCUUGCAGUGGGUACGGGCAGACUAGAGUGCGGUAGGGGAGACUGGAAUUCCUGGUGUAGCGGUGAAAUGCGCAGAUAUCAGGAGGAACACCGGUGGCGAAGGCGGGUCUCUGGGCCGUAACUGACGCUGAGGAGCGAAAGCAUGGGGAGCGAACAGGAUUAGAUACCCUGGUAGUCCAUGCCGUAAACGUUGGGCGCUAGGUGUGGGGACCUUUCCAUGGUUUCCGUGCCGCAGCUAACGCAUUAAGCGCCCCGC